rnacentral:ncRNA from 2 species
CCUAACUCAACGGGGUGCCCACGCGGAAUCGGGGCUGAGACCAUACCCGCCGAACCUGAUCCGGCUCAUACCGGCGAAGGGAUUGAGCGUUUGCCAUCA